GGGUAAUCCUCAAAGCAAUGGAGGAUUUCCCUUGAGGUAACGUGUCUAUGAAUGUCCGUGGACUAAACAAUGUUAACUCACUUGAAAAGCAUGUAAAAGUUAAGCUAGAUUUCUUUUGGUUGUAUAAGGUGUUGUUGAUUAAUUUCGCCAUGUUUUUAUAAAGUCAACGAUCUGGUUAUGUGUUUUAUAGCCGAUAGAAAGUCUCUCAAGUAUAGCUAGCUAACUUUAAAAUGAUGCCGUCUUUCCAGACAGAGCAUGCGCUGUUUAUCCACAUGAGAUGACUACUCAACACUGUUUUCCUUUGUCAUAAAUGCAGAUGUGGAAUAAACCUGCUGUUACCACAAACCUGACGGUGUCCGAGAGAGUAUAUCAGGCAGAAGACAUUACACAGAGGUUACAUUGGUGCCGUGACUCGUCCAUGACUACGCCGGACCGGGACUGAUGUUUUCUUGCCGCUGCAUCGUUGUGGAACUGCACUUCCUCCAUCAGUGUAUUUGACUGGCAGGUUUAUUUAGUUAUUAACAGCCAUAUUUACUUCAAACUGUCAUUUUGUUUAAGUAAGGGUUCCAGUAUGAGUUUCAGUAAAUUUACUACCUCUGAAAUGACUCCUCUAGGUAUUGGUAGAGGUAGAGGACUACAUAGCACACCUGUCCCAUUCUCACUGGGUGACCGUCUAGGGGGGCAUAGGACAUAUUUUGGUGAGGAUUCUGUCCACAGUCCUUUUAGACAUAGGGAUAUAGUGGCACCCGAAAAUCAGCCUAUGAUUGAGUUACAAUCACCACAGUGCACUAGUACAUCAGUUCCUAAACCUCCCUCUGAUGAUGUGAGACUGGUUGACCAAAUGAGCACCAUUGUGCAGCAGAUAGGGAAGCAGCUAGCUGAUAGCAUUAUGUCACACCUCAACACAUCUAGCCCUACAGCUACUGUGCAUGCAAGUCCUGAAGAAACAUACAAUACAAAAGCACCUUCCCCCAUUAACACGCUAGAUCUAUCCCAAGUCCAGUUGAUCACUCGGAGAGAAGUCAAAGACCCACCCGUUUUCCGAGGAGAGAGUUCAGAUGCACUGGCUGUCGAUGAAUGGGAGGAAUUAAUGAAGAAUUACGUAAGAAAAAGCAAUGUUCAGCUGGAAAAUCAAGCUGAGGAAAUUAUUGUCCACCUGAGAGGCAGAGCAAAGGAUGUUGUGAGAUUUGGGAUAAGAAAUGGUGAAAUUGAUGUCCAUAAUAACCCACAGGCCAUCUACGGGCUCCUGCGCAAACAUUUUGGCUCAAGCCAUUGCUCCUCAAUGCCCCUAGCUGACUUUUAUUCUACCUUGCCAAAUGACCAAGAGGACCCCUAUGAGUACUGGCUUAGACUGAACAGAGCUGCUGAUGAUGCUGCUAGCUGCCUUAGAGAGCAGGGUAAAACGUUUGACAACCCUAGUGUUGAAGUCACACGUAUGUUCAUCAGACACUGCCCCAGUAGAGAUUUAGCUCUUACCUUUAGAUCAAAGACGAUUGAUAAGUGGUCAGCUCGUGAGGUUCAGGAAGUGCUAGAUGAAUACCACCUAGAGAAGGGACUCAGGUCUUCUACUGAAAGGAGUAGACAAAUCAGCAUGAAUAAAGUCGAGGUUAGCCCUAACACUCCAUUAGUUUCAGACAUCCCAG
ensembl:lncRNA